rnacentral:ncRNA from 1 species
ACGAGCCACAUGCAGGGAAACUUGCACGUGUGGUUCUGGCGGGGGACCCCGGUAUACUGUAC